rnacentral:rRNA from 1 species
UACGUAGGGGGCAAGCGUUGUCCGGAAUCAUUGGGCGUAAAGAGCGUGUAGGCGGUUCGGUAAGUCGGCUGUGAAAGUCCAGGGCUCAACCCUGGGAUGCCGGUCGAUACUGCCGGACUAGAGUUCGGAAGAGGCGAGUGGAAUUCCCGGUGUAGCGGUGAAAUGCGCAGAUAUCGGGAGGAACACCUAUGGCGAAGGCAGCUCGCUGGGACGUUACUGACGCUGAGACGCGAUAGCGUGGGGAGCAAACAGG